UACGUAGGGCGCAAGCGUUGUCCGGAAUUAUUGGGCGUAAAGAGCUCGUAGGCGGCCUGUUACGUCUGCUGUGAAAUCCCGGGGCUUAACCCCGGGCGUGCAGUGGAUACGGGCAGGCUGGAGGCAGGCAGGGGAGAACGGAAUUCCCGGUGUAGCGGUGAAAUGCGCAGAUAUCGGGAGGAACACCGGUGGCGAAGGCGGUUCUCUGGGCAUUACCUGACGCUGAGGAGCGAAAGUGUGGGGAGUGAACAGG
rnacentral:rRNA from 1 species